rnacentral:rRNA from 1 species
AUGAACGCUAGCUACAGGCUUAACACAUGCAAGUCGAGGGGCAGCAUGGUCUUAGCUUGCUAAGGCCGAUGGCGACCGGCGCACGGGUGAGUAACACGUAUCCAACCUGCCGUCUACUCUUGGACAGCCUUCUGAAAGGAAGAUUAAUACAAGAUGGCAUCAUGAGUCCGCAUGUUCACAUGAUUAAAGGUAUUCCGGUAGACGAUGGGGAUGCGUUCCAUUAGAUAGUAGGCGGGGUAACGGCCCACCUAGUCUUCGAUGGAUAGGGGUUCUGAGAGGAAGGUCCCCCACAUUGGAACUGAGACACGGUCCAAACUCCUACGGGAGGCAGCAGUGAGGAAUAUUGGUCAAUGGGCGAGAGCCUGAACCAGCCAAGUAGCGUGAAGGAUGACUGCCCUAUGGGUUGUAAACUUCUUUUAUAAAGGAAUAAAGUCGGGUAUGGAUACCCGUUUGCAUGUACUUUAUGAAUAAGGAUCGGCUAACUCCGUGCCAGCAGCCGCGGUAAUACGGAGGAUCCGAGCGUUAUCCGGAUUUAUUGGGUUUAAAGGGAGCGUAGAUGGAUGUUUAAGUCAGUUGUGAAAGUUUGCGGCUCAACCGUAAAAUUGCAGUUGAUACUGGAUAUCUUGAGUGCAGUUGAGGCAGGCGGAAUUCGUGGUGUAGCGGUGAAAUGCUUAGAUAUCACGAAGAACUCCGAUUGCGAAGGCAGCCUGCUAAGCUGCAACUGACAUUGAGGCUCGAAAGUGUGGGUAUCAAACAGGAUUAGAUACCCUGGUAGUCCACACGGUAAACGAUGAAUACUCGCUGUUUGCGAUAUACUGCAAGCGGCCAAGCGAAAGCGUUAAGUAUUCCACCUGGGGAGUACGCCGGCAACGGUGAAACUCAAAGGAAUUGACGGGGGCCCGCACAAGCGGAGGAGCAUGUGGUUUAAUUCGAUGAUACGCGAGGAACCUUACCCGGGCUUAAAUUGCAGAUGAAUUGCGGUGAAAGCCGUAAGCCGCAAGGCAUCUGUGAAGGUGCUACAUGGUUGUCGUCAGCUCGUGCCGUGAGGUGUCGGCUUAAGUGCCAUAACGAGCGCAACCCUUGUUGUCAGUUACUAACAGGUUCCGCUGAGGACUCUGACAAGACUGCCAUCGUAAGAUGUGAGGAAGGUGGGGAUGACGUCAAAUCAGCACGGCCCUUACGUCCGGGGCUACACACGUGUUACAAUGGGGGGUACAGAGGGCCGCUACCACGCGAGUGGAUGCCAAUCCCCAAAACCUCUCUCAGUUCGGACUGGAGUCUGCAACCCGACUCCACGAAGCUGGAUUCGCUAGUAAUCGCGCAUCAGCCACGGCGCGGUGAAUACGUUCCCGGGCCUUGUACACACCGCCCGUCAAGCCAUGGGAGCCGGGGGUACCUGAAGUGCGUAACCGCGAGGAGCGCCCUAGGGUAAAACUGGUGACUGGGGCU